rnacentral:rRNA from 1 species
UAAUACAUGCAAGUCGAGCGAACAGACGAGGAGCUUGCUCCUCUGACGUUAGCGGCGGACGGGUGAGUAACACGUGGAUAACCUACCUAUAAGACUGGGAUAACUUCGGGAAACCGGAGCUAAUACCGGAUAAUAUAUUGAACCGCAUGGUUCAAUAGUGAAAGACGGUUUUGCUGUCACUUAUAGAUGGAUCCGCGCCGCAUUAGCUAGUUGGUAAGGUAACGGCUUACCAAGGCAACGAUGCGUAGCCGACCUGAGAGGGUGAUCGGCCACACUGGAACUGAGACACGGUCCAGACUCCUACGGGAGGCAGCAGUAGGGAAUCUUCCGCAAUGGGCGAAAGCCUGACGGAGCAACGCCGCGUGAGUGAUGAAGGUCUUCGGAUCGUAAAACUCUGUUAUUAGGGAAGAACAAAUGUGUAAGUAACUAUGCACGUCUUGACGGUACCUAAUCAGAAAGCCACGGCUAACUACGUGCCAGCAGCCGCGGUAAUACGUAGGUGGCAAGCGUUAUCCGGAAUUAUAUGGGCGUAAAGCGCGCGUAGGCGGUUUUUUAAGUCUGAUGUGAAAGCCCACGGCUCAACCGUGGAGGGUCAUUGGAAACUGGAAAACUUGAGUGCAGAAGAGGAAAGUGGAAUUCCAUGUGUAGCGGUGAAAUGCGCAGAGAUAUGGAGGAACACCAGUGGCGAAGGCGACUUUCUGGUCUGUAACUGACGCUGAUGUGCGAAAGCGUGGGGAUCAAACAGGAUUAGAUACCCUGGUAGUCCACGCCGUAAACGAUGAGUGCUAAGUGUUAGGGGGUUUCCGCCCCUUAGUGCUGCAGCUAACGCAUUAAGCACUCCGCCUGGGGAGUACGACCGCAAGGUUGAAACUCAAAGGAAUUGACGGGGACCCGCACAAGCGGUGGAGCAUGUGGUUUAAUUCGAAGCAACGCGAAGAACCUUACCAAAUCUUGACAUCCUCUGACCCCUCUAGAGAUAGAGUUUUCCCCUUCGGGGGACAGAGUGACAGGUGGUGCAUGGUUGUCGUCAGCUCGUGUCGUGAGAUGUUGGGUUAAGUCCCGCAACGAGCGCAACCCUUAAGCUUAGUUGCCAUCAUUAAGUUGGGCACUCUAAGUUGACUGCCGGUGACAAACCGGAGGAAGGUGGGGAUGACGUCAAAUCAUCAUGCCCCUUAUGAUUUGGGCUACACACGUGCUACAAUGGACAAUACAAAGGGCAGCGAAACCGCGAGGUCAAGCAAA